rnacentral:lncRNA from 1 species
AGCACCAGAUGCCACCUAGGCUUGGCUCAGGAUUGGCAUGUUGUCUCUGCUUAUGUUCCAUUGGCCUGAACAAGCUACUUAUCCAAGCCCUACUUCAGUGAGAUGAGAGGCUGCUCCAUCCACUUUCGACCCUGAGGAGGAGGCAUCUUACAGCAGCAAGAGCCUGGAAUAGGAAGCAGUGGAAUUUCAACUCUGUUCAUCACUUCUCAGCCACGGGACAUUGGACAAGCCUCUGAGCCCCAGCACCUUCAUCUGCAAGGCAGUUGCUGUGGGGUAUGUGGGAGCACAGCCUUGGAAGCCUGGAAGACACGCAUCUGAGUUCUGGUAUUUGCCACCUGCUGGUUGUACAUUCCUCGAUGUUCAGUUUCCUUAUCUGUGAAAUGGGGAUAAGGCCACCUCUCUUCCUUGUUGGAAGUCCAGUGCAACUCCCUGUUGGGAGCAGGGGGAGAUAUGGCAUAGGGACUAUCAGAUCAAAUAAGCAAACAAAAGUGAAGUAUGUAA